AACGUAGGACGCAAGCGUUAUCCGGAGUUACUGGGCGUAAAGCGCGGGCAGGCGGCUCGAAACGUCUGAUGUGAAAGCACCCGGCUCAACCGGGUGAGGCCAUUGGAAACGGUCGAGCUGGAGGGCAGUAGAGGUAGGCGGAAUUCCGGGUGGAGUGGUGAAAUGCGUAGAGAUCCGGAGGAACACCAGUGGCGAAGGCGACACGCUGGGCCGUACCUGACACUGAUGCGCGACAGCAUGGGGAGCAAACAGG
rnacentral:rRNA from 1 species